rnacentral:rRNA from 1 species
CCUACGGGGGGCAGCAGUGGGGAAUAUUGGGCAAUGGGCGCAAGCCUGACCCAGCAACGCCGCGUGAAGGAAGAAGGCUUUCGGGUUGUAAACUUCUUUUCUGAGGGACGAAGAAAGUGACGGUACCUCAGGAAUAAGCCACGGCUAACUACGUGCCAGCAGCCGCGGUAAUACGUAGGUGGCAAGCGUUAUCCGGAUUUAUUGGGUGUAAAGGGCGUGUAGGCGGGAAAGCAAGGCAGAUGUGAAAACUCAGGGCUCAACCCGGAGCCUGCAUUUGAAACUGUUUUUCUUGAGUGCUGGAGGUGCCAUCGCAAUUCCGUGUGUAGCGGUGAAAUGCGUCGAUAUACGGAGGAACACCAGUGGCGACGGCGGAUUGCUGGACAGUAACUGACGCUGAGGCGCGCACGCGUGGGGAGCAAACAGGAUUAGAUACCCCAGUAGUC